CCGCCAUCGGAUUUCGCCGCCAUCUUGACUCUCUUCCCAGCUCCGGAGCCACCAUAUCAUGAGGACACACAAGAAGCUUUAUAGAAAGGUCCGCGUGGUGAGGAACUGAGGUCUCCUGCCAACAGCCAGCACCACCUCGCCAGCUAUGUGAGAGGCUCCAGCCCCAGUCAAGACUUCAGAUAACAGAAGCCCCUACUGACAUCUUGACUGCAAUCUCAUGAGAAAUCCCAGUGUCAAUACUAACACCACCUAGGAAAACUGCUGCCACACUCUAGACCCACAGCAACGUCGUGAUAUAAUAAAGGACUUGGAGCCCGCGAUGGGAGCUACUUAGAGACCUGUGUUCACUGGCAUUCUGAAGGACCUUGCUGACCCCAUCUCCAAGCAAGACUGGAGCCAGCUAACCAAAGAUUUCGCUGCAUGGUACUUCUACCACAAUCUUCCUCGAACACACGUCUGAGCAUGCUGCUUUCCUGCUCAGCAUCCCACACAAAUGUUCGUGACUCCCUGGCUUGGUAACAAGGACCCCCAUAUUCCACUCCAAGCAGCUUCUGCUGGAGCUCUGACUCCCACCAGCUCUGCCUCAGAGCUCUUCCCCCAUCUUGGCCACUUCCUCUAUGUACCUUCUCCACAUGAUGAUGUGAAUGGAGCUUGGAUGACCUGCUCUUCACACACUUCCUCUAAGGUACAAAGUGGGCAACAGCUUUCCACAGGAAAACACCAUGGCAUGAGAUGUUGACUUGAGCAGCAAAAGACCAUGGAGAAAAUUGUGAGAAACCUGCCUGGGAAGCCAAAGGGCUACUUGCACUUUGUUAAGUCCUUCUCUCCAUUUUGUCUUCUUCAGAACUUGCCUUUUGCUCCUCCUCCCUCAAGCAGAUGGUUGAAGAUAUAUGAUCACAUUUUUAAGUUGAGUGUGAAUGGGAUUGAAUUCACUCACAGCUAUUUGGGGCCUUAUUGCAGGAAGUCAGGGACCCCGAACGGAGGGACUGGCUGGAGCCGUGGCAGAGGAAUAUAAAUUGUGACAAUUUCAUGGACAUUUAUCAGUUCCCAAAUAAUACUUUUAUAAUUUCUUAUGCCUGUCUUUACUUGUGUCUUAAUCCUGUUACCUUCAUAAACUGAGGAUGUACGUCACCUCAGGACCACUGUGAUAAUUGUGUUAACUGUACAAAUUGAUUGUAAAACAUGUGUGUUUGAACAAUAUGAAAUCAGUGCACCUUGCAAAAGGACAGAAUAACCACGAUUUUUAGGGAACAAGGGAAGACAACUAUAAGGUCUGACUGCCUGCAGGGCUGGGCAAAAAGAGCCAUAUUUUUCUUCUUGCAGACAGCCUAUAAAUGGAUGUGCAAGUAGGAGAGAUAUCGCUAAAUUCUUUUCCUAGCAAGGAAUAUUAAUAUUAAUACCCUGGGGAAGGAAUGCAUUCCUGGGGAGAGGUCUGUAAAAGGCCACUCUGGGAAUGUCUGUCUUAUGUGGUUGAGAUAAGGACUGAGAUAUGCCCUGGUCUCCUGCAGUACCCAAAGGCUUACUAGGGUGGGGAAAAAUUCCAUCCUGGUAAAUUUGUGGUCAGACCGGUUCUCUGCUCUUGAACCCUGUUUUCUGUUGUUUAAGAUGUUUAUCAAGACAAUACGUGCACCGCUGAACAUAAACCUUUAUCAGUAGUCCUGCUUUUGCCGUUUUGUCCUGUUCCCUCAGAAGCAUGUGAUCUUUGUUCUGCUUUUUGCCCUUUGAAGCAUGUGAUCUUUGUACCUACUCUCUGUUAUGACACCCCCUCCCUCCCCUUUUGAAACCCUUAAUAAAAAACUUGCUGGUUUGAGGCUCAGGUGGGCAUCACGGUCCUACCGAUACGUGAUGUCUCCCCUGGCGGCCCAGCUGUAAAAUUCCUCUUUGUACUCUUUCUCUUUAUUUCUCAG
rnacentral:lncRNA from 10 species